CCCAAAGCGAACUUCCGCUAACACCGCGAUGACGUCAUAUUUGGCGCGCGCACCCAAUGCGAACUUGCGGACGCGUCUAGUAUAAACCAGGCUUUAAUGAUUGGAAAAUCCGUUUGUACUUCGUGUCAGAAACAGCGCGAGCGCUUGGAGUGCAUCUGUACAUCAGAAAUAUACCGGGCAUCACUUACUGUCCGCAUCCACUGUAGAUAGUAUAUAUAAUGGGUUCUAUAUUGUUUUUAUUGAGUCGCGCCGCGCCACUCGCGUCCAAGGAAGACACGGAAGCAGCAGGGCAGCACUGCGGGUUUUGCCCGGGGAUGAACCCGCGAGAGUGGAGGAGCUCCAGAGAACAUCUAUGCUGUGUGCCGAUGCACCUUACAAGAGAAUAAGACCAGCAAGCAAGGCAACUGCAAUGAAGCAUCAAGAAAGACAUGAGCAGACCAGCCACCCUGAGACUGAUAAUUCAUGAGAAGACAUUUCUGUCACUAACAAAGUGGAUGGUGAGCAAAGGUGGUGGCCACGUUUUGGAGCAGCACCUGGGUUUUGCAGAUGGCUAUGUAGUCUUUGGCUGUUUGUCUUUUUCCCCAUUAUGUUUCUGUUGCCUAAAGAUUCUUUGUGAGGAUGAAUCCAGAGGACACAACAUAAUGCACUGCAAAGCAUCCUAAGACAGGAGAAAUGGUGAAGUUGCACUGUUCCAGCAUUGGA